rnacentral:rRNA from 1 species
UACGUAGGGUGCAGGCGUUAAUCGGAAUUACUGGGCGUAAAGCGUGCGCAGGCGGUGAUGUAAGACAGGUGUGAAAUCCCCGGGCUUAACCUGGGAACUGCACUUGUGACUGCAAGGCUGGAGUACGGCAGAGGGGGAUGGAAUUCCGCGUGUAGCAGUGAAAUGCGUAGAUAUGCGGAGGAACACCGAUGGCGAAGGCAAUCCCCUGGGCCUGUACUGACGCUCAGUGCACGAAAGCGUGGGGAGCAAACAGG